rnacentral:rRNA from 1 species
AUUCUCAAGAUCAACCCCUCGACCGUUGUUACCGUUGAGCACAUCUGUCGAAUUUUCACCCUUCGGAUGCUUGUUCAUGACAUUCAUCUUAAUGAGCUUGCUGAGGAUGACAUUAUCUGGAAUCAUAAACUUAGUGGCCACUACUCGGCAGCUUACGCCUACAAAGUGCAAUUCCUCGGCAUGGUUCUCUCUCCCAUGGAACAAAUGGUGUGGAAGGUUUGA